GGCGUCGUGGCGGAGUGGUUAACGCGACAGACUUGAAUCCAUUCUUGUCAUCUGUUGCCUUCGGGCGCGCAGGUUCGAAUCCUGCCGGCGUCG